rfam:Strongylocentrotus purpuratus Contig65134_fixed, whole genome shotgun sequence.
UCUUGCCUAUGAUGCUUUAGUUAUCCCUGUCUGAAACCCAAGUACCACUUGGAUCUGAGGAGAGAUAAUACUUUUCUGAGGCAAAG